UACGUAGGUGACCAGCGUUGUCCGGAUUUACUGGGCGUAAAGAGCGCGCAGGCGGUCGUUCAAGUCGAGUGUGAAAGCCCCCGGCUCAACUGGGGAGGGUCAUUCGAUACUGAUCGACUGGAAGGCAGGAGAGGGAAGCGGAAUUCCCGGUGUAGUGGUGAAAUGCGUAGAUAUCGGGAGGAACACCAGUGGCGAAGGCGGCACUCUGGGCCGGUACUGACGCUGAGGAGCGAAAGCGUGGGGAGCGAACAGG
rnacentral:rRNA from 1 species